CAGUCGCCGCGGUAAAACGGAGGGUGCAAGCGUUAAUCGGAAUUACUGGGCGUAAAGCGCACGCAGGCGGUCUGACAAGUCAGAUGUGAAAUCCCCGGGCUUAACCUGGGAACUGCAUUUGAAACUGUCAGGCUGGAGUCUUGUAGAGGGGGGUGGAAUUCCAGGUGUAGCGGUGAAAUGCGUAGAGAUCUGGAGGAAUACCGGUGGCGAAGGCGGCCCCCUGGACAAAGACUGACGCUCAGGUGCGAAAGCGUGGGGAGCAAACAGGAUUAGAGACCCGUGUAGUCCCUGUCUCUUAUAC
rnacentral:rRNA from 1 species